AUUGAACGCUGGCGGCGUGCUUAACACAUGCAAGUCGUGCGGUAACAGGCGUAGCAAUACGUGCUGACGAGCGGCGAACGGGUGCGUAAUACAUGGGAAUCUGCCUUUUAGUGGGGAAUAACCCGGCGAAAGCCGGGCUAAUGCCGCAUAAGAUCUUCGGAUGAAAGCGGGGGAUCGUAAGACCUCGCGCUGAUAGAUGAGCCCAUGCCGGAUUAGCUAGNGGUGAGGUAACGGCUCACCAAGGCGACGAUCCGUAGCUGGUCUGAGAGGACGGCCAGCCACACUGGGACUGAGACACGGCCCAGACUCCUACGGGAGGCAGCAGUGGGAAUAUUGGACAAUGGGGAAACCCUGAUCCAGCGACGCCGCGUGUGUGAAGAAGGCCUGCGGGUUGUAAAGCAACUUUCGGUGGGAACGAAAUAUGCCGGCUAAUAUCCGCAGGCUGACGUUACUCAAUAGAAGAAGC
rnacentral:rRNA from 1 species